rnacentral:rRNA from 1 species
GACGAACGCUGGCGGCGUGCUUAACACAUGCAAGUCGAACGGAAAGGCCCUGCUUGCAGGGUACUCGAGUGGCGAACGGGUGAGUAACACGUGGGUGAUCUGCCCUGCACUUCGGGAUAAGCUUGGGAAACUGGGUCUAAUACCGGAUAGGAACCAUCUUUAGUGUGGUGGUUGGAAAGUUUUUUCGGUGUAGGAUGAGCUCGCGGCCUAUCAGCUUGUUGGUGGGGUAAUGGCCUACCAAGGCGGCGACGGGUAGCCGGCCUGAGAGGGUGUACGGCCACAUUGGGACUGAGAGACGGCCCAGACUCCUACGGGAGGCAGCAGUGGGGAAUAUUGCACAAUGGGCGCAAGCCUGAUGCAGCGACGCCGCGUGGGGGAUGAAGGCCUUCGGGUUGUAAACUCCUUUCGCUAGGGACGAAGCUUUGUUGUGACGGUACCUAGAGAAGAAGCACCGGCUAACUACGUG